rnacentral:lncRNA from 1 species
GGAGAGAAUAAAGGGGAGAGAAUAAAGGGGAGAGAAUAAAGGGGAGAGAAUAAAGGGGAGAGAAUAAAGGGAUAAGAGAAUAAAGGGGAGAGAAUAAAGGGGAGAGAAUAAAGGGAUAGAGAAUAAAGGGGAGAGAAUAAAGGGAUAAGAGAAUAAAGGGAUAGAGAAUAAAGGGAUAGAGAAUAAAGGGAGAGAGAAUAAAGGGGAGAGAAUAAAGGGGAGAGAAUAAAGGGAUAGAGAAUAAAGGGAUAGAGAAUAAAGGGAUAGAGAAUAAAGGGGGAGAGAAUAAAGGGGAGAGAAUAAAGGGGAGAGAAUAAAGGGGGAGAGAAAGGGAUAGAGAAUAAAGGGAUAGAGAAUAAAGGGAUAGAGAAUAAAGGGGGAGAGAAUAAAGGGGAGAGAAUAAAGGGGAGAGAAUAAAGGGGGAGAGAAUAAAGGGUGAGAGAAUAAAGGGGAGAGAAUAAAGGGAUAGAGAAUAAAGGGGAGACAAUAAAGGGAUAGAGAAUAAAGGGAUAAGAGAAUAAAGGGGAGAGAAUAAAGGGGGAGAGAAUAAAGGGGAGAGAAUAAAGGGGGAGAGAAUAAAGGGGAGAGAAUAAAGGGAUAGAGAAUAAAGGGAUAGAGAAUAAAGGGAUAAGAGAAUAAAGGGGAGAGAAUAAAGGGGGAGAGAAAGGGAUAGAGAAUAAAGGGAUAGAGAAUAAAGGGAUAGAGAAUAAAGGGAUAAGAGAAUAAAGGGGAGAGAAUAAAGGGGAGAGAAUAAAGGGGAGAGAAUAAAGGGGGAGAGAAUAAAGGGGAGAGAAUAAAGGGAUAGAGAAUAAAGGGGGAGAGAAUAAAGGGGAGAGAAUAAAGGGGAGAGAAUAAAGGGGGAGAGAAUAAAGGGGAGAGAAUAAAGGGAUAGAGAAUAAAGGGGAGAGAAUAAAGGGAUAGAGAAUAAAGGGGAGAGAAUAAAGGGGAGAGAAUAAAGGGAUAGAGAAUAAAGGGUGAGAGAAUAAAGGGGAGAGAAUAAAGGGGAGAGAAUAAAGGGGGAGAGAAUAAAGGGGAGAGAAUAAAGGGAUAGAGAAUAAAGGGAUAGAGAAUAAAGGGAUAAGAGAAUAAAGGGGAGAGAAUAAAGGGAUAAGAGAAUAAAGGGAUAGAGAAUAAAGGGGAGAGAAUAAAGGGAUAGAGAAUAAAGGGGGAGAGAAUAAAGGGGAGAGAAUAAAGGGGGAGAGAAUAAAUGGGAGAGAAUAAAGGGGGAGAGAAUAAAGGGUGAGAGAAUAAAGGGGAGAGAAUAAAGGGAUAGAGAAUAAAGGGGAGAGAAUAAAGGGGAGAGAAUAAAGGGGGAGAGAAUAAAGGGGGAGAGAAUAAAGGGAUAGAGAAUAAAGGGGGAGAGAAUAAAGGGGAGAGAAUAAAGGGGAGAGAAUAAAGGGAUAGAGAAUAAAGGGAUAAGAGAAUAAAGGGGAGAGAAUAAAGGGGGAGAGAAUAAAGGGGAGAGAAUAAAGGGGGAGAGAAUAAAGGGGAGAGAAUAAAGGGAUAGAGAAUAAAGGGGAGAGAAUAAAGGGGAGAGAAUAAAGGGGAGA